AGAAAAGCUUGACUAGUAGCUUUGACUUCAUUUUUGGUGCCCUUUCACUCACCUUAGAACUUUGAACUUGGAAUACUUUAGGCUCCUCCCACUCUCCUCUUCAAAACCCUUCAAGGAUCUAGCCUAACUCCUAGUUUUGCUUUGGUAUCUAGAGAUUCAAUUCUCUAGUGAGGUACAUGACUCAGGAUUUGAAGAUUCCAUUGCUCCUUGGAUGGCUUACAGUUUCUAUGUUUUUAUUUUAUGCAAGUGUUAGCAUAAGAUGCCUCUUUGUAGCCCUAUUUGUUUAAACUUGUAUUCGUUGAUUCGUAUAUGUAAAGUGUACGUAAGUGCACUCUUUUCAAUGUAUUUAACAUGUAUGAGAUGAGACCGGAGGCCAAUGACAUGUAUCUCGUUUUCUAUGCACUUUUGUUUUCAAAGUUUA